AUUGAAAAUUGAUAAACGAAAAUGAUUAUCCCAGUUCGCUGCUUUACUUGCGGAAAAGUUAUUGGCAACAAAUGGGAAGCAUAUUUAGGAUUAUUGCAAGUGGAAUACACAGAAGGUGAUGCUUUGGACGCCUUGGGACUAAAGAGAUAUUGUUGCAGGAGGAUGCUAUUGUCUCAUGUUGACCUCAUUGAAAAACUUCUCAACUACGCACCAUUAGAAAAGUGAUGUACGGUACUAGCUGGCUGGAAUGUGAAACACUUAGAGCUUCUUGUGGAAGACUGUAUCUCUUGUGAAUAUUUUCUCUUUUGGAGGAAAAGAGAUAAAAGAUAUUGUGAAAAUGAUAUGUUUAUGUAUCAAAACAUGGGGCAGUUAAUGUUAUAAACUGUGUGAAUCUCUCACUAUCACUUAGAGAUCACUUAGUCAAUGUAAAUUAUGUGUUAUAAACAUACAUUUUGAAUGUAAUCAUUUUGUCAUUGUUCCUACAUAAAAACUUUCAUCAAGAAAUCGUUA